rnacentral:misc_RNA from 1 species
AGUCAUCAACCCCUACCGUUUUGUGCGGUCUGGGUGUUGGAUCUGGGGGCUUGCUGCCGAGAGGCGGCUCCCCUCAAAUGCAUCGGUUGGGCCUGCGGGUCGUACUCGAUUGGGCGUUGUAUUAUCCUCGCUUUAACGAGAUGUUCCCCUCCUUGUGCCCCUCCACGACCUGCCUUUUGAGUGGCGGUCAAGCAAAAACUUUGAAA